rnacentral:rRNA from 1 species
GACGAACGCUGGCGGCGUGCUUAACACAUGCAAGUCGAACGGAAAGGCCCCUUUGGGGGUACUCGAGUGGCGAACGGGUGAGUAACACGUGAGUAACCUGCCCUUGACUUCGGGAUAACUUCAGGAAACUGGGGCUAAUACCGGAUAGGAAUCCUUGCUGCAUGGUGGGGGUUGGAAAGCUUCGGCGGUUUUGGAUGGACUCGCGGCUUAUCAGCUUGUUGGUGGGGUAGUGGCUUACCAAGGCUUUGACGGGUAGCCGGCCUGAGAGGGCGACCGGCCACAUUGGGACUGAGAUACGGCCCAGACUCCUACGGGAGGCAGCAGGGGGGAAUAUUGCACAAUAGGCGGGAGCCUGAUGCAGCAACGCCGCGUGCGGGAUGACGGCCUUCGGGUUGUAAACCGCUUUCAGCAGGGGCGAAGCUUGUGGUGACGGUACCUGCAGAAGAAGCACCGGCUAACUACGUG